UACGUAGGGGGCAAGCGUUGUCCGGAAUUAUUGGGCGUAAAGAGCGUGUAGGCGGUCCGGUAAGUCGGCUGUGAAAGUCCAGGGCUCAACCCUGGGAUGCCGGUCGAUACUGCCGGACUAGAGUUCGGAAGAGGCGAGUGGAAUUCCCGGUGUAGCGGUGAAAUGCGCAGAUAUCGGGAGGAACGCGUAUGGCGAAGGCAGCUCGCUGGGACGUUACUGACGCUGAGGCGCGAAAGCGUGGGGAGCGAACAGG
rnacentral:rRNA from 1 species